AAACAGAUUCAACUCUGAUUACAUCGAAAUCGCCAUCCUGGAGCUGCUGAUAGCUGGAUGCUUCGAAAACCAUCAGAGCCAGGCAAUGCCAUUUGGGACCCUCGAGGAAAUGCCUCGUAGCUUUUCUUUUGUUUCAUCAGAGACCACAUACCAGCGCUUCUCUCCUUCACAGCCAUCUCAGCCCAUGCGACUCAGCGAAGACUCUGGCACACUUCAGAGUGAAACGUCCAGCAAACAGGCUCCAUCCACCCCUACUGAAGCCAUGGAAUGAGGGGCGGAAGGCCACCACAUAGCUAGAAACUGGAAACCACAUUACACAGCCAAGGAGUGUGAAGUAACCUGCUGGAGGAUGACGGCAGCAGCACGUCACGCAUGUGCCACCACCAGCCAAGGAACAGCUGGCUCUACUCACACAGCACAGUCCCUGGGUGAGUGCAGGACACGGGCGUUGUGUCACCUCGCUGGAGGGGCUGCGGUGACACGCACAGCACCCAGAUGCCACAGCAGUAUAAUCAAUGGGCUUUCUGUCCGGGCUGUGCAGUAUCAAGGACAGUACGAUGCACCCACAGUCCUCACAACAGAAAUGUGACGUGGCUGAGGGCAUUUUUCAGACGUAUUAUAAAGUUCUUUGCAAUUAAGAGGGGCUCAUUAUCUGCUGAUACUCAAAGUGCAGAAGGAAGCAGACAUCAUU